UCAGUGCACAGCUGCUGGAGG
rnacentral:misc_RNA from 1 species